GGAAAAUGUGGAAAUUGUGGAUUAUUGAUGGUAGAUUAAUCACGCACUGAGUUAUAUUUUAGUGACCUGAACUGACCCUGCAACUCUCUGGGAGGCAGCCCUAGAAAGCACCUAAUGGAUUUCUUCUGCCAGUGGAAAAUGUGAGCCAUACUGUGGGAGUGAGUGGAACAAUAUAUAAUAGUUUCUGUUCAAAUAUGCCACAGAAAUACAAACCCACCAUAGGCGAUGGUUACAAAAAACACAGAUGUAAUCGUAUAAACAAUGCCCUCUCUGACAUCAAAUUGGGCGUUAGCUUCCGGAAAGCAGCUGAAAAACAAGGAAUUCAUUUUAGUGUACUAUACAGACACCUAAAAAGAGCGCCAACAUUGAAUCUCAGGGUGGACAAACUGCCUUGUCUUUUAAAGAAGAGAAGCUGUUUGUAGACAGAUGGAAAUACGCAAUGAAUGGGGCUAUCCUAUUGACUUUACAACCUUAAGACUUCUAGUAAAGGAUUCUCUGGACAGAAGGGGGAAAGAAGUGAGAAGGUUUAUGAACAAUUUCCCUGGUUGUGAUUUUGUGGAUCGUUUACGUGGCAACGCAAAGAUCAAUUAGCAAUGCGAAUGUGCCAAAACAUAAAACGCUCCAGAGCUGGUGUUACACCAGAAGCUAUUAACAGUAACUUUGAUGAGCUGUCCAAGGAAUUGGAGAAUAUGCUGCCAAAUAAUAUAAUAAAUUAUGAUGAGACAAACCUUACAGAUGAUCCAGGAAAAUGAAAGGUAGUCACAUGUAGGGGAACUAAAUAUCCCGAAAGGGUCAUGAACUCCUCAAAGGCAUCAAUCUCAGUAAUGUUUGCAGCUGCUUCAGUUGGCACUAUACUACCCCCUUAUGAUAAAAUGUUUGAUAUGCUCCACUUCGAUUAUUGGGUCCUUACAGUUGCUGUCCCAUACCUGAAAAAGCUGGAAGGUAAGAAAUUUCUCAUUGGAGACAAUUUAUCUUUGCAUCUGUCCAUAGAAUCAGUUACGCUGUGUCACGACAAUAACAUAAGAUUUAUAUUCCUACCAGCAAAAUUCAACACACCUGACACAACCACUGGAUGUGGCAUUUUUUUGGCUUCUUAAAACUAUUUAGCGCCAAUGGAAGAAGGGCCCAGGAAGAAAUGAGGCAACAGUUCCUAAGGAUAACUUGUGAAAAAUUUGUGUGACUCCUCGAAGGAAAAAAAUGUUAUUGCAGGUUUUAGGAAAUGUGGGAUUGUGCCUCUAGACUGCAAUGAAGUAUUGUCAAAUGCUCCCAGGUACUGGUACCGAUAUACCAGUAAACAAAAACCAGGAUAAGAACAAUCUUGAAGAAUCCACUAAUAUUGUUGACAACAGUUUUAAAGAACUCUUCCAGAGUCUUAGACAAGACCAGACUCCUAAACAAAGGAGAAAAAGGACAAAAGUUAAUGUCCAACCUGGCCGAAGUAUUAGUGAUGAUGACUUUGAGGACACGGAUGGGGAGGAUGUAACCCCCAGUUAUUCACUUUACAGUGAUCCAAGCCCUUGUACGUCUAAACAAGGCAAGACCAAAAAAAAAAAAUGCUGGUAUCUCCAUAA